AUUGAACGCUGGCGGCAGGCCUAACACAUGCAAGUCGAACGAGUGGCGGACGGGUGAGUAAUGUCUGGGAAACUGCCUGAUGGAGGGGGAUACCUCCUGGAAACGGUAGCUAAUACCGCAUACCAUCAGAUGUGCCCAGAUGGGAUUAUCUAGUUGGUGGGGUAACGGCUCACCAAGGCGACGAUCCCUAGCGGGUAUGAGAGGAUGACCAGCCACACGGUAACUGCGACACGUGCCAGACUCCUACGGGAGGCAGCAGUGGGGAAGAUUGCACAAUGGGCGCAAGCCUGAUGCAGCCAGGCCGCGUGGAUGAAGAAGGCCUUCGGGUUGUAAAGUACUGUCAGCGGGGAGGCGUUACCCGCAGAAGAAGCACCGGCUAACUCCGUGCCAGCAGCCGCGGUAAUAC
rnacentral:rRNA from 1 species